AAGCAACUUUUCAUCAAAAGAUUAGCUUUGAAAACCUAUGAUAAUGUCAUUUAAAUUAAUCGAGUGUCGCCGAUGUUUUGGGCGAUGUCCGGGUCAAAUUUGUAACGGUGGAUCACAUUUCAUCGCGUAUGUAAGAAGGAGACACCGGAGAAGAGACCGUCGUUGUAUCAGACGGACGGGAUGUUAGCCGCGAUCCACAUGCACAUGAACAGCCACGAUGUCGGGCUUUUUGAAGCAUCGCAGUUGGGAAUCUUCCUGCGAUGUCCGUGAAACGGUGGAUUGGAUCUCCACGAUGUUUUCCCUUUCAAAGCAACGUAGCCUCUGUUGAAGGUUAAAAUGUAUAUCUUCAGUACAUGAAGUGUCAAUCUGGUGACCUGUACUCCUGGCCUGAUGGCGAGGCACAAUUCUACCUCUAUCCAUUGGGUCACCGAUCUUCUUGAAGUUCAUAAACUUGUAACCUGAAUGCAGAGAGAAAUAUUGCAUGUUAUUUCUAAUAGUCAGGUUUAGUGUACAGUGUAAUACAUUUUUUACAUUUGCCAGUAAGAAGUUUACCAUAUAGUUUUUAACUAAAGGAAAAGAUUGUACUUUGCAGUUUUAUACUUGAACAUUUAUUAGAAUAGCUUAGUAGAAAUAGUACAUUUUACUCUCUCAUUCACAACUCUAUGUUCAAACAACAGGUGUAAGUUUUUUUAUUCAAUUUGUCCACUAAGUACUUUACAAUUGUCCUUUUGGCAUGCUGGAACUUAAUGUUUUAUCCAAUGCAUCUAUUCCAGUGAUGACAUGAUUAUAUUUUAAUUAAAGUCACUUAGAACUACAUUACCAUGUAACUGAGGUAAAACAAAUUAGAGUAAACAAAUUGAACAAGUUAUGUGUGUAAGGUAUUAAUGCACUGUCCAUGAAUUGCAUGCCAACUUUGUCUUGUUUUGUCUUGAAAAACCAUAGCUUAGAAGAACUAAACUAGUACCUUUUCCCUACAUCUUUUUCACCCGAGUAUUGUAUCAAAGGUAUCAAAAUUAUAAUCGUGUACAUG